CCUACGGGGGGCAGCAGUGGGGAAUAGUGCACAAUGGGGGAAACCCUGGUGCAGCAACGCCGCGUGAGCGGUAAAUGCCUUCGGGUCGUAAAGCUCUGACCUAAGGGAAGAAUAUUGACGGUACCUUAGGAGGAAGCCCCGGCUAACUACGUGCCAGCAGCCGCGGUAAUCAGUAGGGCGCAAGCGUUAUCCGGAAUUACUGGGCGUAAAAGUGGCGUAGGCGGCCCAUAAAGUAGGAGGUUCAAGGCAACGGAUCAAAAGUAGUAAGCCUUUGAAACUGUAGGGAUUGAGUGCAGGGGAGGGGAGUGGAAUCCGCAGUGUAGCGGUGAAAUGCGUAGAUAUUGGGAGGAACACCAGUCGCGAAGGCGGCUCUAUAGACUGUAACUGACGCUGAGGCACGAAAGCGUGGGGAGCGAACAGGAUUAGAUACCCUGGUAGUC
rnacentral:rRNA from 1 species